rnacentral:tRNA from 1 species
GCCCGAAUAGCUCAGCUGGUAGAGCAGCAGUCCCGUAAACUGCAGGUCGCGGGUUCGAACCCCGCUUCGGGCUCCA